rnacentral:rRNA from 1 species
GUCUACGGCCAUACCACCCUGAACGUGCCGCCCGAUCUCAUCUGAUCUCAGAAGCUAAGCAGGGUCGGGCCUGGUUACUACUUGGAUGGGAGAACAUUUGAUCUAACCAAGACCUUAUAAACU